CAGCCGCCGCGGGAAUACGAAGGGGGCUAGCGUUGUUCGGAUUUACUGGGCGUAAAGGGUGCGUAGGCGGAUUGUUAAGUCAGGGGUGAAAUCCCGAGGCUCAACCUCGGAACUGCCUUUGAUACUGGCGAUCUUGAGUCCGGGAGAGGUGAGUGGAACUGCGAGUGUAGAGGUGAAAUUCGUAGAUAUUCGCAAGAACACCAGUGGCGAAGGCGGCUUACUGGCUCAUUCUAGACGCUGAGGUGCGAAAGCGUGGGGAGCAAACAGGAUUAGAUACCCGUGUAGUCCCUGUCUCUUAUAC
rnacentral:rRNA from 1 species